GUUACGCCAUCCAUCAUGCCAUCGUCUUCAGUGUCGGAGGAUACAAUAUUCACUUUAGCUGCACGGUCGUACAAAAUAUUAGUAUCUAAGUAUCUAUUGCAAAAUGGAAUAAAACAGUAGUUGAAUCUUGGUCGGGUGGAGUUCGGAGUCGACAUGAUAGAUGUCUAGUUAUAAGAAUGAGCAAAAAACAAAUAGGGAUAAGGAAUUAGCACAAUAGUAUUCGAGAGGAGGAGGGAUGUGAAGAAGGAGGCUUAUUUAUAAGUGGACAUAUCGGUGUAAAAGGUAUUUUGGUGGGCCCUUUAGCCCUACAGAUGUUCCAGGUGGGCCCUUUAGCCCUACAGAUGUUCCGGAGAACUGAAUAACUGUUCCAUUUUUAUGCUAUAGCUGCACAACCAAAGCCUACUAUAUAGAAGACUUAGGAUUGGUGAUGCUCGUUUACUCAGGUAUGUAGGUUAAUAAUUUGUGGUGAAAUUACACUUGAGAAAAAGUGUUUAGAAGACUUAGGAUUGGUUGUAAACAGAUAAAUUGAAAAAUUCUGAGUUUUUCAAUAUUAGGG
rnacentral:lncRNA from 1 species